rnacentral:tRNA from 3 species
GUGGGUGUAGUUUAAUGGUAAAACCUCAGCCUUCCAAGCUGAUGACGAGGGUUUGAUUCCCUUCACCUUCU